AACGAACGCUGGCGGCAGGCUUAACACAUGCAAGUCGAACGCAUCGCAAGGUGAGUGGCAGACGGGUGAGUAACGCGUGGGAACAUACCCUUUUCUACGGAAUAGCUCUGGGAAACUGGAAUUAAUACCGUAUACGCCCUACGGGGGAAAGAUUUAUCGGGGAAGGAUUGGCCCGCGUUGGAUUAGCUGGUUGGUGGGGUAAAGGCCUACCAAGGCGACGAUCCAUAGCUGGUCUGAGAGGAUGAUCAGCCACAUUGGGACUGAGACACGGCCCAAACUCCUACGGGAGGCAGCAGUGGGGAAUAUUGGACAAUGGGCGCAAGCUUGAUCCAGCCAUGCCGCGUGAGUGAUGAAGGCCUUAGGGUUGUAAAGCUCUUUCACCGAUGAAGAUAAUGACGGUAGUCGGAGAAGAAGCCCCGGCUAACUUCGUGCCAGCCGCCGCCGUAAGAC
rnacentral:rRNA from 1 species